AGAAUCAACGCUGGCGGCGUGCCUAACACAUGCAAGUCGAACGAGAAAGGGGUAGCAAUACCCUGAGUAAAGUGGCGCACGGGUGAGUAACACGUGACUAACCUACCCUUGAGUGGGGGGAUAACUGAGGGAAACCUUAGCUAAUACCGCAUAAUACCCACGGGUCAAAGGAGCAAUUCGCUCGAGGAGGGGGUCGCGGCCGAUUAGUUAGUUGGCGGGGUAAUGGCCCACCAAGACGAUGAUCGGUAUCCGGCCUGAGAGGGCGCACGGACACACUGGAACUGAAACACGGUCCAGACUCCUACGGGAGGCAGCAGUGGGGAAUUUUGCGCAAUGGGGGAAACCCUGACGCAGCAACGCCGCGUGGAGGAUGAAGUCCUUCGGGACGUAAACUCCUUUCGAUCGGGACGAUUAUGACGGUACCGGAAGAAGAAGCCCCGGCUAACUUCGUGCCAGCAGCCGC
rnacentral:rRNA from 1 species